rnacentral:rRNA from 1 species
AUUGAACGCUGGCGGCAUGCCUUACACAUGCAAGUCGAACGGCAGCAUGAUCUAGCUUGCUAGAUUGAUGGCGAGUGGCGAACGGGUGAGUAAUACAUCGGAACGUGCCCUGUAGUGGGGGAUAACUAGUCGAAAGAUUAGCUAAUACCGCAUACGACCUGAGGGUGAAAGUGGGGGACCGCAAGGCCUCAUGCUAUAGGAGCGGCCGAUGUCUGAUUAGCUAGUUGGUGAGGUAAAGGCUCACCAAGGCGACGAUCAGUAGCUGGUCUGAGAUGACGAGCAGCCACACUGGGACUGAGACGCGGCCCAGACUCAUACGGUAGGCAGCAGUGGGGAAUUUUGGACAGUGGGAGCAACCCUGAUCCAGCAAUGCCGCGUGUGUGAAGAAGGCCUUCGGGUUGUAAAGCACUUUUGUCCGGAAAGAAAUCGCACUUACUAAUAGUAGGUGUGGAUGACGGUACCGGAAGAAUAAGGACCGGCUAACUACGUGCCAGCCGCCGCAGUAAAAC